GACGGAGGAUGCAAGCGUUAUCCGGAAUGAUUGGGCGUAAAGCGUUCGCAGGAGGCUGUUCAAGUCUGCUGUCAAAGACCGGGGCUUAACCCUAGAAAGGCAGUGGAAACUGAACGGCUGGAGUGCAGUAGGGGUAGAGGGAAUUCCCAGUGUAGCGGUGAAAUGCGUAGAGAUUGGGGAGAACACCGGUGGCGAAAGCGCUCUGCUGGACUGCAACUGACACUGAGGGACGAAAGCUAGGGGAGCGGAAGGG
rnacentral:rRNA from 1 species